rnacentral:rRNA from 1 species
CCUACGUGAUGCAGCAGUAGGGAAUCUUCCACAAUGGGCGAAAGCCUGAUGGAGCAACGCCGCGUGGGUGAAGAAGGUCUUCGGAUCGUAAAACCCUGUUGUUAGAGAAGAAAGUGCGUGAGAGUAACUGUUCACGUUUCGACGGUAUCUAACCAGAAAGCCACGGCUAACUACGUGCCAGCAGCCGCGGUAAUACGUAGGUGGCAAGCGUUAUCCGGAUUUAUUGGGCGUAAAGGGAACGCAGGCGGUCUUUUAAGUCUGAUGUGAAAGCCUUCGGCUUAACCGGAGUAGUGCAUUGGAAACUGGGAGACUUGAGUGCAGAAGAGGAGAGUGGAACUCCAUGUGUAGCGGUGAAAUGCGUAGAUAGAUGGAAGAACACCAGUGGCGAAAGCGGCUCUCUGGUCUGUAACUGACGCUGAGGUUCGAAAGCGUGGGUAGCAAACAGGAUUAGAUACCCGGGUAGUC